GGCUGGUCUGAAGGUAGUGAGUUAACUGAUUGUUCACAGUCAGUUACAGAUUGAACUUUCUAUUUUUCCCUUCUCACUAUUGCACUUGUCAAAA
ensembl:Y_RNA Y_RNA Y RNA